UUUCCUGUGGCUCAGUUGGUAGAGCAUGGUGUGUGCAACGCCAGGGUUGUGGGUUCGAUUCCCACGGGGGGAC
rnacentral:tRNA from 1 species